GAUGAACGCUGGCGGCGUGCCUAAUACAUGCAAGUCGAGCGAACGGACGAGAAGCUUGCUUCUCUGAUGUUAGCGGCGGACGGGUGAGUAACACGUGGAUAACCUACCUAUAAGACUGGGAUAACUUCGGGAAACCGGAGCUAAUCCCGGAUAAUCUUUUGAACCGCAUGGUUCAAAAGUAAAAGACGGUCUUGCGGUCACUUAUAGAUGGAUCCGCGCUGCAUUAGCUAGUUGGUAAGGUAACGGCUUACCAAGGCAACGAUGCAUAGCCGACCUGAGAGGGUGAUCGGCCACACUGGAACUGGGACACGGGCCAGGCUCCUACGGGAGGCAGCAGUAGGGAAUCUUCCGCAAUGGGCGAAAGCCUGACGGAGCGACGCCGCGUGAGUGAUGAAGGUCCUCGGAUCGUAAAACUCUGUUAUUAGGGAAGAACAUAUGUGUAAGUAACUGUGCACAUCUUGACGGUACCUAAUCAGAAAGCCACGGCUAACUACGUG
rnacentral:rRNA from 1 species